UUGGUGUGUGGUUCCUUUUGGUUGUGAGGGCAGCAGAGAAGAUUAUUAGGGCCAGGCUGCCAACCAUUGGUGCACUGGCAGAACAGCGCUGCUUGUCCAGGACAAGAAGGAUAAUUAGGGACACUUCACAUCCCUUUAACAAACUAUAUUCCUUCC